UGUCAUUGUAACACUCAUGCAGCUAUUGCAGUUGCCCGUGUUCUGCAUUGCUCCUGCCAAAGAUCAAUGUCUUCUCUUCACUUUCAGCUAAACUCCAUAUUGGUAUAAGUCUGCAAGGUGAACGCCAGGCCCGAACAAGACCUUUCCCUGCRAGCAGAAUGUAUUCUCGGAGACCUUUCAAUCGACAUGACAGAGAGGUUACUGCUGAGCCCUCAAGUGAAUCCCACCAUGAGUAGAAAACAGUUUUUGUAGGAUUGGAAAGYGAAGACAAUCUCUGAUUUCUGCACUCCUGCCCUUCUUUCUGUGUGCUGGAGAGGUACCAUGAGGACAGUAGUGAAGUCUCUAACCCUUAAUCUGCACAACUGGGCAUGUCCUGAAAGGAAUCCAGAGGGGGAUCUAGUACUCAUGUGUCAAUCACAGGACAUUUGUAAUGAAAUCCUCUUACCAGGUGCAGACCGUGCCAGAGGCCAUAGGCACACCGUGCAUGGUUCCUGUGCUGGUAGACCCUCACAAGACGAUAUCUGCACUGGCCUUAGGUGACAUCCCUGGGCAAGGACUGGACCAGGAGAGGUGCUAUUGGAGCUCUGAGAGCCA